GAACAGUCUUCCUUUAAUAUCAAUUUCCAGAAGAGAAAUGAUCUGAUGGGCGGAUGAAAUGAUUGCAGGAUGGAUGCUGCUGCAUUCCUGCAUUUCUUGAGGAAGCUCCCUGCUUUGCCGUGCCUCCUGUUCUGUCUGUGGCUGGUGCAAUGUUACCAGCACACAGAAAGCUCAGGACACACUGUGAUAGACAAGACCUGCCAGCUGAUUCAUAACUGCAUUCUGCCUUGCUUCUCCUCCCUGUCAAGAUGAUCCAUCAAACGGUGUCCAUCAAUUAAAAUUUCCACUCAAAAGAGGAAGGUGUGUGAGGGAGCACCCAUCCCUUUCUUCACUCAUACCUGGGCACCUAGAACUCAGGAUAGAAAUCUUUUAAGAAAAAAAAAUAAAAAAGAAAAAACCAAAAAAGG